rnacentral:rRNA from 1 species
GAUCCUGGCUUAGGAUGAACGCUAGCUACAGGCUUAACACAUGCAAGUCGAGGGGCAGCAUGAGAUCAGCUUGCUGAUCUGAUGGCGACCGGCGCACGGGUGAGUAACGCGUAUCCAACCUUCCCUCUACUCAGGCAUAGCCCGGUGAAAACCGGAUUAACUCCUGAUAGUUUCACUAGAUGGCAUCUGACGGUGAAUAAAGCUCAGCGGUAAGGGAUGGGGAUGCGUCUGAUUAGCUUGUUGGCGGGGUAACGGCCCACCAAGGCGACGAUCAGUGGGGGUUCUGAGAGGAAGGUCCCCCACAUUGGAACUGAGACACGGUCCAAACUCCUACGGGAGGCAGCAGUGAGGAAUAUUGGUCAAUGGGCGGAAGCCUGAACCAGCCAAGUAGCCGUGCAGGAAGACGGCCCUAUGGGUUGUAAACUGCUUUUGUGCGGGAAUAAAGUCAGGGACGUGUCCCUGUUUGCAUGUACCGUAAGAAUAAGGACCGGCUAAUUCCGUGCCAGCCGCAGC